AGAGUUUGAUCAUGGCUCAGAUUGAACGCUGGCGGCAGGCCUAACAUAUGCAAGUCGAACGGUAGCACAGAGAGCUUGCUCUCGGGUGACGAGUGGCGGACGGGUGAGUAAUGUCUGGGAAACUGCCCGAUGGAGGGGGAUAACUACUGGAAACGGUAGCUAAUACCGCAUAACGUCGCAAGACCAAAGAGGGGGACCUUAGGGCCUCUUGCCAUCGGAUGUGCCCAGAUGGGAUUAGCUUGUAGGUGAGGUAACGGCUCACCUAGGCGACGAUCCGUAACUGGUCUGAGAGGAUGAUCAGUCACACUGGAACUGAGACACGGUCCAGACUCCUACGGGAGGCAGCAGUGGGGAAUAUUGGACAAUGGGCGAAAGCCUGAUCCAGCCAUGCCGCGUGUAUGAAGAAGGCCUUCGGGUUGUAAAGUACUUUCAGCGGGGAGGAAGGUGUUGAGGUUAAUAACCUCAGCAAUUGACGUUACCCGCAGAAGAAGCACCGGCUAACUCCGUGCCAGCAGCCGCGGUAAUAC
rnacentral:rRNA from 1 species